GCUCUGAGCAAAGCCAGUAGAGGGCGGUUUCUCAUUUUAUGUUCCUCUCAGCUUCUCGGAAAUUGAAAUUGGAUUCUUGUGAUGAUAUAAGAUAGAAAAAAGAAAGAAAGCUGUUGCUGAAAGAAAGGAA
ensembl:ncRNA T02E9.14 ncRNA